GUGUGUGAGUGUGGUGUGC
rnacentral:miRNA from 1 species